UACGUAGGGUGCAAGCGUUGUCCGGAAUUAUUGGGCGUAAAGAGCUCGUAGGCGGUCUGUCGCGUCUGCUGUGAAAACCUAGGGCUUAACUCUGGGCGUGCAGUGGGUACGGGCAGGCUAGAGUGCGGUAGGGGAGACUGGAAUUCCUGGUGUAGCGGUGAAAUGCGCAGAUAUCAGGAAGAACACCCGUGGCGAAGGCGGCUCUCUGGGACGGUACUGACGCUGAGACGCGAAAGCGUGGGGAGCGAACAGG
rnacentral:rRNA from 1 species